UUGACAUGUCUACUACAAUUUACAAAGACAGAUCACAAUUCAUAUUAUCAUCGCGGAUCAUUUGUCUACAUAGUCCAAGAGUUAACUAGCUACCCUACUUGACCAAGAUGGAGAGACAACCUUGAACAUAAAAAUCAACAUGUCUGUUGAUAUUCCCCAAGCGUCUAUGAAAGCAACAUAAUAAAUGCACACAUCAAUUCGUAUCUGAAGUAUGUCUGUCUAGAAUGAAAUGACUGUUGCAUUAGGUCUGAAAUAGCACAAGAGUUGCAUAAGGUCUAAUUGGCAUGUGUAUGACACAAGGACUUUCUCAAGGGCACCAAAGCUAAACUGCUGUAUUGAGAAUGUAGUUCCUUUCAAGUUGAUAAGCUCAUAUUUGUAUGUAUAAUAACAUCAAAUGGAUAUAAGGUCAAAUGGCAAAAGACAAACAUAUUAUAUGGAAAAAGAAUAAAACCAGCAAUGCUUCACCCCUAAGAGCAAAGGAAAAAAGCUCCAACUGGGAAAGUGCUAUACUAUAACCUGAAAGCAAAACAGGAAGUAUAAGGACAUCGAUGAAGCACUGCCAAUGCAAGUUGAAGAAUUGAGCAAAGGCUCUAUUGCUCUUACUGAAAAAUCGUAGAAACCAAAGAUGAAAAAAUAUCUCCACAUGUAGUAGAUUAUUUGAAGCCUAUAAAUACUCAAGCCUGAUAUAUAAUCAGGUUUAUGGCCUUUGACUCAACUCAAGGGAUUUCCAGCUUCCAAACCAACCCAAGGUCAUUCCUCUUGAGAGAAAAGUUCCUAUGAAAAAUGAAUCUCUUCUUCUAAAGUUGGAAUCAUGAAACUCAACUUGAAAGAAGAACAAAAUUAGCAUAUAAAAGAAGAAGUGAAAUCUGAGAAUUAGUUGCACAAAUAUUAGGACUUUGAUUAGAAGAAAAACUACAAAGAUAAAUAAUCAUAUCUCAUAUGAAGAAAUUGCCAAUAAAUUCCUCAUGAAUAUUAUGAAUUUGAUAUAUUCAAACAACUCCACUACCACUCUUCUGAUUGAAUGAAAUUGAUCAUCCCAAAGUUGUUCAAGAAUUAAGAAAAACGUUGGAUGUGUGAUCAAACGUCAUAAUAGUGAACUAAGAGGAAAGGUUUUUGGUGAAGUAAUAGCUGCCACAAUUCACACUGCUGAAAUUAUGACAGGAUGCCCCAGAGAAGUUACAAAUUGUUACUCCAAAUGGGAAGAAAGGCUUAGAGAAGAAAGCGUCAACAUUACCAUAUAUUGAACUGUAAUCCGAAAAUUAAUCAAGUCAACUGAGAUGAUUCCCAAGUGUAGGAUGUUGCACACACUUCUGCAUGAAUCUGUAAUGGCACACACUGAUAUCAUUAGUAAUAACAUUGAACCUUUCAUAAUACAAAAUAAGAAAAUCCUACACAUAUGGGAUGCUAUUGAAAAAUGAAGAAUAAUCUUCUCAGCAUGUUUCUUCCUUUAUUUUUAACUAAAAAGAUACAUAUGUCAUUGAAAGUUAUAACUCAUUUUGUUUUUUGAAGCAUUUACAUCUCCAUUCUUUAUUAAUGGAGAGAAUCCUAAGAGAAAUAUGUUAUUCUAUUAAAUAAGCAAUAAUCUGGGUAGAUCCCAGUUUGCACAAAAUGGAACUGUCUUCAUCCUAUCAAAAAUUAAUGAUUAUAUAGUCUUCAUCCUAUCAACAAAUGGAACUGUCUUCAUCCUACCAAAGAAAUAUGAGUAUGGUCUGUAUCCUAUCAACAAAAGGGAACUAUCUUCAUCCUAUCAACAAAAGGGAAAAUUAUCUAUCUGAAAGAAAAUAAAAAGAACCAAUGAUUCAAGAAAGGGAAAAAGGAAAGGCCAGUAGACAGAGAAGGUUAAACAACGGCUUUCCAAAAAUUUAUGUGUUUGAAGAAUUAGAGGAAAACAAACCUUUGCUGUCAUAAGAAGGACAAGAUCAACUAAAACUUCUGAAGCUGAAAAUGGUCAACUGACUUGGAAGAAAAUAAAGAGACAUGCUAGAAACAUGUGCAAC
rnacentral:lncRNA from 1 species